rnacentral:lncRNA from 1 species
CACCAUUGAAUAUCCCAAAGAAGCCAAUGGUACCCAAAGGGAUUAAUAUGUCCUCUGGGCUCUUAGGAGAAAUACAGUUAGGCUGUGGGUCUUAGACCUUAUAUUUUAUUUUUUCCAUAAUUCUAAUUUCUUUUAGCCUUUAGACAGUUUCCUUAAGUGGAGGCACUGUCAUGUUCCCUUCAUCCCAUCUGUGCUUCUGGUACCCUUCCCAACUGUUACUAAAGUGGACUCAGGUGUCCUUCCCUCAUCACAAAACCCAUGUUGUCAAUAAUAAUGUUGUCUACUUUUAUGUCCUGCCCUCCUUGAUUUAUUACUAUCAAGAUCUAUCCCCAUAUUUUUGUCCUCUGUUCAAACAACUGACACUAUUCUUUACCUCACUGGAGGUAGGUGCAGGGCCCCUAGGAAAGGACAGGCUACUCUCUCUAGACCAGCAGUUCUCAACUUGUGGGUUGAGACCCCUUUGGGGGUCAAAUGACCCUUUUACAGGGAUCCCCAAGACCAUCUGCAUAUCAGGUAUUUAUAUUACAAUUUAUAACAGUAACAAAAUUAUAGUUAUGAAGUAGCAAUGAAAAUAAAUUUAUGGUUGGGGUUGUCACCACAACAUGAGAUAUUAGGAAGGCUGAGAACCACUACUCUAGGCAAAGCAGAAGGAACAGUGCAUGCCAAAUGAACACAGAAGAAAGUGUGAGUGGAAACUUCAUAGGCUAAAUGCUUUCAUGACAGGUUUCAGCAUUCCAUUCUUUGUUCAUCAAGGACUUUGAUAUAGGUGACAUCUCUGGGCUAUCCAUUCCUUUGUAGUUCUGUUACCAUGGUGUUCAAUAUCGGGUCUGAUUGCCAGGCAUUCCAAGUUCUGUCAAAGAAGACUCCAUGUAAAAUGCAAGAGUUUGGUGAUGUCUUCAAAUGUAAUGACCCUUCCUCUGGCCCUUCUCAGUGACCCUUGGCACUAAUGGGACACAGUUUGACCAGCUGCUUCCCACUCCUGCUGUCUUGGCUUCCUCACUGUGAUGGACUGUAUCAUGAACUGCAAGCCAGAAUGUACUCUGCCUUCCUUGAGUUCUGCCAGGGAAUUUUGUCACAGCAACAGGAAAAGUAAUACAGACUCAUUCUCAACGUUUGACUUUCAGCACUGUAAAAUGAUACAUUUACUUUAUCUUAAGGGGAUUAUCUCAUCUUCAAAGAUGAAGUAAAAGAGAGAAGACAAGGAAGGAAGGAGGGAGGGAGGAACAAAGUAAAGAAGAG